rnacentral:rRNA from 1 species
GAUGAACGCUAGCGGCAGGCUUAAUACAUGCAAGUCGUGGGGCAGCAUGAAGUAGCAAUACUUUGAUGGCGACCGGCAAACGGGUGCGGAACACGUACACUACCUUCCUUUUAGUGGGGAAUAGCCCAGAGAAAUUUGGAUUAAUACCCCGUAACAUAGCGAUGUGGCAUCACAUUGCUAUUAUAGCUUCGGCGCUAGAUGAUGGGUGUGCGUAUGAUUAGAUAGUUGGCGAGGUAACGGCUCACCAAGUCUACGAUCAUUAGCUGAUGUGAGAGCAUGAUCAGCCACACGGGCACUGAGACACGGGCCCGACUCCUACGGGAGGCAGCAGUAAGGAAUAUUGGUCAAUGGACGAAAGUCUGAACCAGCCAUGCCGCGUGAAGGAUUAAGGUCCUCUGGAUUGUAAACUUCUUUUAUAUGGGACGAGAAAAGGUCUUUCUAGAUCACUUGACGGUACCAUAUGAAUAAGCACCGGCUAACUCCGUGCCAGCCGCCGCCGUAACAC